rnacentral:rRNA from 1 species
CCUACGGGAGGCAGCAGUGGGGAAUAUUGGGCAAUGGGCGCAAGCCUGACCCAGCAACGCCGCGUGAAGGAAGAAGGCUUUCGGGUUGUAAACUUCUUUUCUCAGGGACGAAGAAAGUGACGGUACCUGAGGAAUAAGCCACGGCUAACUACGUGCAAGCAGCAGCGGUAAGACGUAGGUGGCAAGCGUUAUCCGGAUUUAUUGGGUGUAAAGGGCGAGUAGGCGGGAGCACAAGUCAGAUGUGAAAACUCAGGGCUCAACCCUGAGCCGGCAUUUGAAACUGUGUUUCUUGAGUGCUGGAGAGGCAAUCGGAAUUCCGGGUGUAGCGGUGAAAUGCGUAGAUAUACGGAGGAACACCGGUGGCGAAGGCGGAUUGCUGGACAGUAACUGACGCUGAGGCGCGAAAGCGUGGGGAGCAAACAGGAUUAGAUACCCCUGUAGUC